rnacentral:rRNA from 1 species
UACGGGGGGAGCAAGCGUUGUUCGGAUUUACUGGGCGUAAAGGGCGCGUAGGCGGCGCAACAAGUCACUUGUGAAAUCUCCGGGCUUAACUCGGAGCGGUCAAGUGAUACUGUCGUGCUAGAGUGCGGAAGGGGCUACUGGAACUCCUGGUGUAGCGGUGGAAUGCGCAGAUAUCAGGAAGAACACCGAUGGCGAAGGCAGUUCUCUGGGCCGUAACUGACGCUGAGGAGCGAAAGCGUGGGGAGCGAACAGG